rnacentral:rRNA from 1 species
CGUAGGGUGCGAGCGUUAAUCGGAAUUACUGGGCGUAAAGCGUGCGCAGGCGGUUGUGCAAGACAGAUGUGAAAUCCCCGGGCUUAACCUGGGAACUGCAUUUGUGACUGUACGGCUAGAGUGUGUCAGAGGGGGGUAGAAUUCCACGUGUAGCAGUGAAAUGCGUAGAUAUGUGGAGGAAUACCGAUGGCGAAGGCAGCCCCCUGGGAUAACACUGACGCUCAUGCACGAAAGCGUGGGGAGCAAACAGGAUUAGAUACCCUGGUAGUCCACGCCCUAAACGAUGUCAACUAGUUGUCGGGUCUUAAUUGACUUGGUAACGCAGCUAACGCGUGAAGUUGACCGCCUGGGGAGUACGGUCGCAAGAUUA